rnacentral:rRNA from 1 species
AUUGAACGCUGGCGGCAGGCCUAACACAUGCAAGUCGAGCGGAUGAAGGGAGCUUGCUCCUGGAUUCAGCGGCGGACGGGUGAGUAAUGCCUAGGAAUCUGCCUGGUAGUGGGGGAUAACGUCCGGAAACGGGCGCUAAUACCGCAUACGUCCUGAGGGAGAAAGUGGGGGAUCUUCGGACCUCACGCUAUCAGAUGAGCCUAGGUCGGAUUAGCUAGUUGGUGGGGUAAAGGCCUACCAAGGCGACGAUCCGUAACUGGUCUGAGAGGAUGAUCAGUCACACUGGAACUGAGACACGGUCCAGACUCCUACGGGAGGCAGCAGUGGGGAAUAUUGGACAAUGGGCGAAAGCCUGAUCCAGCAAUGCCGCGUGUGUGAAGAAGGUCUUCGGAUUGUAAAGCACUUUAAGUUGGGAGGAAGGGCAGUAAGUUAAUACCUUGCUGUUUUGACGUUACCGAAAGAAUAAGCACCGGCUAACUUCGUG